UUCUUUUCAGGGUCCUUUUCCUGCUGCAUCUGCAUCAGGUCCUUAGGCAUGGGUAGCAAGAAACUCAGACGAGUGGGAUUAUCACAAGAGCUGUGUGACCGUCUGAACAGAUAUCAGAUUGUUACCUGUCAGGACUUUUUAUGUCUUUCCCCACUGGAGCUUAUGAAGAUGACCGGCCUUAGUUAUAGAGGUGUCCAUGAACUUCUAUGUAUGGUCAGCAGGGCCUGUGCCCCACAGAUGCAAACGGCUUAUGGGAUGAAGAUGCAGAUGUCUGCUCCCCUCUCCCCAGCGUUCUUAGCCACAACCCUUUCUGCAUUGGAUGAAGCCCUGCAUGGUGGUGUGGCUUGUGGAUCCCUCACAGAGAUUACAGGCCCACCAGGUUGUGGAAAAACUCAGUUUUGUAUAAUGAUGAGCAUUUUGGCCACGUUACCCACCAACAUGGGAGGAUUAGAAGGAGCUGUUGUGUACGUCGACACAGAGUCAGCAUUUAGUGCUGAAAGACUGGUUGAGAUAGCAGAAUCUCGUUUUCCCAGAUAUUUUGACACUGAAGAAAAAUUGCUUUUGACAAGCAGUAAGGUUCAUCUUUAUCGGGAACUCAGCUGUGAUGAAGUUCUACAAAGGAUUGAAUCUUUGGAAGAAGAAAUUAUUUCAAAGGGAGUUAAACUUGUAAUUAUUGACUCUGUUGCUUCUGUGGUAAGAAAGGAGUUUGAUACACAACUUCAAGGCAACAUGAGAGAAAGAAACAAGUUCUUGGCAAGAGAAGCAUCCUCCUUGAAGUAUUUGGCUGAGGAAUUUUCAAUCCCAGUUAUCUUGACGAAUCAAAUUACUACGCAUCUAAGCGGAGCUCUAGCUUCUCAGGCAGACCUGGUGUCUCCAGCUGAUGAUUUGUCCCUGUCUGAAGGCACUUCUGGAUCCAGCUGUGUGACAGCUGCCCUAGGAAACACCUGGAGUCACAGUGUGAACACCCGGCUGAUUCUCCAGUCCCUUGGUUCAGAGAGAAGACAGAUUCUCAUCGCCAAGUCCCCUCUGGCUCCCUUCACCUCAUUUGCCUACACCAUCGAGAAGGAAGGCCUGGUUCUUCAAGGCCAACAGAGGCCACAGGGACACACUAUGACCGUUGUCUAGAGCUGCUGGGCACACGAUUUGUGAAAUGAAACAGGAUGGUGCUGCUUGGAAGAAGGAAACGGAAGCCAACAUAAUGGGGAUUAAUUAGUUGAUUGAUGUUGAGAUGGUAACAGAUUUGCCUCCAUACCAUUGAGCCAGCCAUCUCAGACGUAGCAGGGAAGGUGAGGAUGAAGAAGCCUUUGUUCAGAAUUCAACAGAGGCCUCUUUUGCUCAAAUGGAAGGAGGGAGCCCAUCGCAAUCCUCAAAAAAAUAUCCUAAUUGUGAGAGAAAGCACAUUGUCGACCUCUCUGAAUUUCAGUAACCACAGUGUUCAGAUGGAGCCCAAGUUCUCCAGAAACUCCAAAGACAUCUGGGAAGAGACUAGACCAAUCAAUACUGGGCAUACAUCAGGAUGGACUUGGUUUUGCUGCCUAAACAAACAAGCCCCAAAAUCUUGGUGACUUAAAGUCUGUGUGUCUGAGAGACUCUCCUGGGAUGCUGUCCUCCAUAUGACGACUUGGUAUUCCAUUUCAGUAUCAUUAUGUACUUCUACAAUUGCCACAGUAGGGGAAGAGAGAGAAAGACUGUACACUGGCAAUUAAGUGCUUUCCCCAAGAAUUGACACAUAUCACUUCUGCUGUCAUGGCCAAGCAGUCAUGCAUCCACACCCAGCUCCAAGGAGGUGGGAAACACAAACCUCCCCUGUAUUUGGAAGGGAAGGAGAACUAGAUAUUAGUGAGCCCUUGUGAUGUCUGCCACAUAAUGCUGUAGCCAGUGAGCUGGCACAUAUCUCCUUCUUUCACACUCAUCCCUUGCACAUACCUUUCCUUGAAUCACCCAGUAUACACCAAAGACUUAUGGGCUAGUGUUGGGGAAAGAAGACCAAAUAGUUUUUUUGGCCCAUUUUUAGUCUAUAGGCAACCAUUUUGAAAGAGAGGAGUAGCCACAGAAAACCACUUAACUCUGGGUACUUUUCCCUUGGAGCUAUCAGACACUAGUAACCUUAGGAAAGGAUAAGGGGUUAAAGGGAGCCAUGGCCUGAUUUCAGUAAUACAUCUAAGAUGGAACAACUAAUUUUGAGUUGCCCAUAACCAUCAUGCUUUGUAUGGAAGGGCUUCUGGAAACAUGCCCUUUCUCCUCCAUUCCUCCCCUUAUUACCAGACAUGAUUCAAAUUCCCUCUAAGCCCUGUGACUUUUCCAGAAAGCAGCUCUCCCAGCAGAGAGAGAGAGAGAGAGGAGAGGAGGGGGGAAAAAAAACUUUCCCUUAUUAUUCUUCCAAUAAUGAAUUCCUGCUCUGAGUGGGCUGUUUCCAUGUGUUUUCAGUCAAGUGCUGAUGGCAGCCUUGCCGGGGGACAUUUCCAACAGGCUGUGGACAUAAUAGAUGAGGUCUCAUAUUGACAAGAGCUGCUCUCAGUUUUCCUUCCAGUUUAGCCCUCCUAAGCCCUGAAAUUGGAGAUGAGAAAUGAUUCACGAGAUCCCACUGGUGAACCAACAUGGCUGCCACACCUCUUUCUCCUUUUAACUAGGUAAAAAGUCAUGGUUUCAAAGCUUUCCUCUAAGAGAUUUGUAGACCUGGAUCUUAGUAACUUAAAAAGGACUUAGCUUUCUAAGACCAGCCCACUUUUUGUAGAUGCCAAGACUUCCUUUCUUCAGGAUUCAAACAUAGUCUUGGCCUACCCUGAUACCAUAAGAACAAAGGGAGAAUUUAGGACACAAUAUUUCCUGUCUAAAACCUGAUCUCAAAUACAAAGAUGCUUCCAAGUAAGCAGUGGCAGUAGCCAUGUUUGCUAAGGGAAUCAGCCUGCUCAUUCUCCCCAAAGCAAUGUUUCAGAUAAUUCCAUGUCAGCUUACCUUCACGGAACUGCUACAAAUUAUUAGUUAUAGUAAGGCUCUCUUCAUUGAGAAGAGUCUCAGUUACUUCAGGUAAAAAGGAACAGGUAUUUUUAAGGGUAUAAGUAGCCUGGAAUUGGAAAGUCUUUAGGAGAAGAGGCAGCCCUGGGGAUUUAUUAUCUCAGAGGCUCUGAGUCUCUGCUUCCCUUUGUAUUUCUACCUGAAGCACUCAUGUCCCAGCAGACCUGCCCUAUAGACAGUGGAUCCUGCCUACUCAAAACUUCAGCUUGCAUGUGGCCCAUCCUGGGGUCUUGAGCUCCUCCUUAUAUACCUCAGCCUUUCAACUUCAGUUCCCAUUGACUUCUUUCCUUGGUAUUCUUAGUUAAAAUUCCUAAGAGACAAUCUCAUUGCCUCAGGCUCAUCUUAUUGUUCUGUCUCAGAGAACAUCAUUGGUCACUAGCCAGCCAGUCAGCUGUGGGCUGAGGGAUGAGCUGCAAGCAUGUCUGCCCAAGUUGCAGAAGGUGGGGCAAAGCAGCUUCCUUCAGAGGGUCUGUGAGGGGCUGAGGACGUGAUGGACCUUAGUGGGCUCUUUGAACCCUUACUGGGAUUGCCACAGAUACUCAUUCUCUCUUGCUUCUUCAUCCCCCCAUCUCAUCACUGUAGGCCUGCUUUCCAGGCACAGCCCCGGCUCCUAUCACUGCUCACCCACCAACUCCUGAUCCAGCAUCCUGCCUCUCACCCUGUUGAAGUGUGCGAUCACAGAGGUAUAGGACUAGCAAGUGGGGAGGAAGAGCUCUUAAAAUGUAUUUGAGAAUAUAAGGAAGAUUGGAGAAAGGCAUGGAAGGAGGGAUGGAAAUAAAAUCCUUUCUCAGCCAAAAAAAAAAAUCCCAUUCCCACCAUGGGACUCAGGUACCUUUCCUCUUUCUCUUGAUCUUUGGAACAGUUUCCCUUUCCCCAAAAAUCAAACAUCAGCAGAAGCAUGAGAAACUUCCAUCAAGGGACCCAGAUGGAGCAGAGCAGGAAGAUAGUCUGGCUCUGCUAAUCCCCCAGAGCUUUUUCUGACCCCUGCAAGGAUCCCUAGUUCCCGUCUAAGACUUCUGCAUUUCCCCAGGUCCCCACCCUCAGGCCUCAUGGAGCCCUGGUCCCAGAGUCUUGAAUAUCCAGUCCUAAGCAAUUUACUUUCAAAAUAUGGUUUAGAACACAAGUGAAGGAGUCUAUGUAGAUAAGGUCUUUGCCAGUCGUGUUCUCCCAGUAUGCCCAAAGCUCUUCACUGGCAGUUUUCACAAAUCUCCCUGAUAUUUUUAGAGGACUGGUCGUGCGUGGCAUUGCCCUGUUUCAUCUGAGUCAGAGAAAUGAUGCAUUGUGUGAAUUCACACAUCAAGGAAAGGACUGGGAGAGAACUGAAUUACAACACUGGGCUUAGCCUUUUACUCAAUAGAGACCAUUGCCUUUAUACCAUAUCAGCUGGUUAAAAGGCCAACCCCAGACACCUACAUUCAAAUGUCAGCAUCUCUGUAUUCUUUUCAGUGGCUGUGAGGCUAGAAGUGAAUUAGAGGCAAGUCUAAACAGCCCUGGAUUUCCCUGCCCUUUCCUAAGCUCUGGGUAUGUCAGUGUUGAUUAAAUCAUUCGUCAAACCUUGUUCCAGCUUUUAUCUACCGACCAAAAGUGCAGUUUCCCUAGAAGCCUAUGAUAAUGGCAGGGAAGGUUGCUCUGAUGGUGUUUCUAAACCUGCUGCUCUGGGAUUCUAGAGCCAGUUCCUCUGGAUGACAUCCAGAUCUCUGCUCAUUCCAUUUAGGAUCUGAGGUUGAAAUCUAUUGCCGUUGUCUGUCCCCUGGGAUCUGAAAACCCAUCUGGGGUUUGUCCAGCAUCUCUCUCCAAUACCACCAUCCAACUCCACAGUCAUUACCAUUCUAACAGCUUGAAAGCUGUUGCAGAGAUGGAGCAGAAGCCAGUUUGGCUUUCUCCCAGUCCUCGAGGCCCUUCUGGGGUUAAUCAGCAACCACCUAUCUUUGUGUUAAUAACAUAAGCCUUUCUAACGAGAACACCUGGAGGAAACCCAUAGGAAACCUUAGGAUGAAGCCAAUUUUGCAGUAAUUAUUCUGACCAUCACUGUCUAAGCUGGACUCAGACUGUCCAGGAAAAAAACCAACUUGUUAAAAUCAGCCAACUAGCUGGACGGACUUGUGCCUCCCAAUGUUCCUUAAGCCAUCCUAGGUUUUACUAAUACUUUCCAUGUCCACAUGUAAGCUCCAGAGUCCCCUUAUGCUGUACACUCGGGCAGCUUCUCCCUAUUUCAGGUACACAAGGUUUAGUGAAAUGUCCUGAGUGCAUCUUACUGACAGAAUUCUUUAGUGACAUCUUCCCAUACUCUCCCCACCCUCCCAGCCCAUCCCAAUGGUUGUGUUUACACUGCUGGAGAAAUAGCAGACCUUCUUAGCUGGGAUUGCUGACGACUUCUCUUAGUAACUAGUCCAAAUGGCUUUGGAUGUCAGGUGAUUAGUCUGUGCACGGGAAAAGGACUAAGGGCUGAGGAGGUGGAAGGGAAGGUGGGGGACACAUGAAAAAUGGUUUCCUGCUCUAUUAGUCUGCUAAGGCUGCCAUUACAGAAUACCACACAAAAUAGCUUAAAGAACAGAAAUUUAUUUUAUCACACUUCUGGAGACUGGAAGUCUAAGAUCAAGGUGCCAUUUGGUUUGGUUUCUCCUGAGUCCUCUCUCCCCACAGUGUCUUCCCAUGGUUCCUCAUAUGUGUGGGCUCUGAGUGUCUCUUCCUCUUCUUAUGACACCAGUCUUCUUGGAUUAAGAUCCCGCUCUUAUGACUUCAUUUAAUCCUAAUUGCCUCCCUUUAAAGGCCCAUCUCCAAGCACAGUCUAUUGGGGGUUAAGACGUCAACAUAUGAAUUUGGUAUUGGUAGUGGGGGACGACAAUGUUCAGUCCAUAUGAGCUGCCAUAACUUUUCCUCAACAGAUCAUCUCCCAUCCUCUGACGCUGCCCUUCUGGGCAGGAGAAGAGUAGAUACUGGUCAGGAAAUGGCAGAUGGGACUCUGUACAGUCAGUUUGAGAAUGGCUGAGCUAGGUAGGGAGGGUGGCUAAGGUAGGCAGAGCAAAAAGAUGGACGUUUGGAUACAUGAAGAGAUGGUUGGAUGGAUAGACAGAUGGAUGAAUCUAUGGCUUAGGCAGUGUGUUGAUGCCACCAGGAUGGACAUUACAGUCUACUUCUUUGGGGGUGUAGAUUUUUACAGUGCAGGGAUUGCAACCUCAAAUGCUCACGUUAGGUAACAGAAUUGCAAGAAGAGGCCAGGUGCAAUAAUAGGGAAUAGUGGGGAAUGGGCAAAUUGGAAAGACCGUGCUCUGCCUACAGGGGCCAUGUAUACUAAGUUCCAGCCAAUUACCAUGUUGUGGGAUGCCAGCCUAACGUUGUCAGUAUGUCUGAUUUUUCAAGAGAGCAAGAAAUCUGCAUUUUUCCGAUGAAAUCUUUCUUUAAAUACAUUUUUAAAUUAUAGCAAUUAAUUCAAACAUUGUAAAAUACUGGAUGGGCCAAAUCAGCACAUUUCCAGUCUGAGUGACGCUUGGAGGUUGUCAGAUUUCCACUCUUGGACCACUAGAAAGACAUCUGUCAUGCCAUCAAGUGAGGAUGGAGGCAUUUAAGAGUUCUAGCUCAUGAGUACACUGCCUGGGCUUGUAUUCCAGCCCACUACUUAGUUUUGCAAUCUUGAGCAGCUUACACAUGGGACUCCGAGUUAUUGUAAUGAUAAAAUUAGUUAAUACGUGUGGAUGCCUAGAACAGUGCCGGGUGCCUAGAACAGUGGCUGCUGCCCCAGUAAGAAAGCAGCAACAGAACCAGCAUUUUUUUUUCUUUAAUUUCUUUUCAGCAUAACAGUAUUCAUUGCUUUUGCACCACACCCAGUGCUCCAUGCAAUACGUGCCCUCCCUAAUACCCACCACCUGCUUCCCCCAACC